rnacentral:misc_RNA from 1 species
UUUCAAGCACUAAGUUUACUAUUCUAUUGGUCAUUUGUACAGUAGGAAUUUGAUAAAUUUCUCUUCAUAAAAGUUGCUCCUUUAUGUGUCUUCUUUAAUUUACUUUUUGAAUCACUCUAUUAGGAGUUUUCUAGCUCAAGAUAUGCUAAUUUGAAUAAGGCUGGCCGGAUUAGUAUCUAUCCAAAAUUUCUGGGUAGAAUCCCAUUCUGCCAGAUUUGGUAGUUCAACUUUGGCUAAUAAUUUCCUUUGGUUAAGUCCAGAAUUAGAGUUUGUGUUCUACAUAAAAGUUGUUGUAAAUUAUCUAAGU